CUCCAGCUUGGGCGACAGAGCGAGACUCCAUCUCAAAAGAAAAAAAAAUUUCAACCUCCAGCUUUUUUCGGAGUGCAUCUCCCUCGCCCCCUGAGAGUCUCGUGGAGGAGGAGCGACCGAGUGGCCCUGGUGGUGGCGGGAAGCAGAGAGCAGAUGAGAAGGAGCCAUCAGGACCUUAUGAAAGCGACGAAGACAAGAGUGAUUACAAUCUGGUGGUGGACGA
rnacentral:lncRNA from 10 species